rnacentral:rRNA from 4 species
GAAUUUCGGUUGGGGAUGGGCUCGCGGCCUAUCAGCUUGUUGGUGAGGUAAUGGCUCACCAAGGCGUCGACGGGUAGCCGGCCUGAGAGGGUGACCGGCCACACUGGGACUGAGACACGGCCCAGACUCCUACGGGAGGCAGCAGUGGGGAAUAUUGCACAAUGGGCGCAAGCCUGAUGCAGCAACGCCGCGUGAGGGACGACGGCCUUCGGGUUGUAAACCUCUUUUAGCAGGGAAGAAGCGAAAGUGACGGUACCUGCAGAAAAAGCGCCGGCUAACUACG